UUUAACUGAAGAGUUUGAUCAUGGCUCAGAUUGAACGCUGGCGGCAGGCUUAACACAUGCAAGUCGAGCGGGGGAAGGUAGCUUGCUACUGGACCUAGCGGCGGACGGGUGAGUAAUGCUUAGGAAUCUGCCUAUUAGUGGGGGACAACAUCUCGAAAGGGAUGCUAAUACCGCAUACGUCCUACGGGAGAAAGCAGGGGAUCUUCGGACCUUGCGCUAAUAGAUGAGCCUAAGUCGGAUUAGCUAGUUGGUGGGGUAAAGGCCUACCAAGGCGACGAUCUGUAGCGGGUCUGAGAGGAUGAUCCGCCACACUGGGACUGAGACACGGCCCAGACUCCUACGGAGGCAGCAGUGGGGAAUAUUGGACAAUGGGGGGAACCCUGAUCCAGCCAUGCCGCGUGUGUGAAGAAGGCCUUAUGGUUGUAAAGCACUUUAAGCGAGGAGGAGGCUACUUUAGUUAAUACCUAGAGAUAGUGGACGUUACUCGCAGAAUAAGCACCGGCUAACUCUGUGCCAGCAGCCGCGGUAAUACAGAGGGUGCGAGCGUUAAUCGGAUUUACUGGGCGUAAAGCGUGCGUAGGCGGCUUAUUAAGUCGGAUGUGAAAUCCCCGAGCUUAACUUGGGAAUUGCAUUCGAUACUGGUGAGCUAGAGUAUGGGAGAGGAUGGUAGAAUUCCAGGUGUAGCGGUGAAAUGCGUAGAGAUCUGGAGGAAUACCGAUGGCGAAGGCAGCCAUCUGGCCUAAUACUGACGCUGAGGUACGAAAGCAUGGGGAGCAAACAGGAUUAGAUACCCUGGUAGUCCAUGCCGUAAACGAUGUCUACUAGCCGUUGGGGCCUUUGAGGCUUUAGUGGCGCAGCUAACGCGAUAAGUAGACCGCCUGGGGAGUACGGUCGCAAGACUAAAACUCAAAUGAAUUGACGGGGGCCCGCACAAGCGGUGGAGCAUGUGGUUUAAUUCGAUGCAACGCGAAGAACCUUACCUGGCCUUGACAUACUAGAAACUUUCCAGAGAUGGAUUGGUGCCUUCGGGAAUCUAGAUACAGGUGCUGCAUGGCUGUCGUCAGCUCGUGUCGUGAGAUGUUGGGUUAAGUCCCGCAACGAGCGCAACCCUUUUCCUUACUUGCCAGCAUUUCGGAUGGGAACUUUAAGGAUACUGCCAGUGACAAACUGGAGGAAGGCGGGGACGACGUCAAGUCAUCAUGGCCCUUACGGCCAGGGCUACACACGUGCUACAAUGGUCGGUACAAAGGGUUGCUACACAGCGAUGUGAUGCUAAUCUCAAAAAGCCGAUCGUAGUCCGGAUUGGAGUCUGCAACUCGACUCCAUGAAGUCGGAAUCGCUAGUAAUCGCGGAUCAGAAUGCCGCGGUGAAUACGUUCCCGGGCCUUGUACACACCGCCCGUCACACCAUGGGAGUUUGUUGCACCAGAAGUAGCUAGCCUAACUGCAAAGAGGGCGGUUACCACGGUGUGGCCGAUGACUGGGGUGAAGUCGUAACAAGGUAGCCGUAGGGGAACCUGCGGCUGGAUCACCUCCUUAA
rnacentral:rRNA from 1 species